ensembl:lncRNA
UUUCUCUAUGCAUGUUUAUGUUUUCUCUAUGCAUGUUUAUGUUUUCUCUAUGCAUGUUUAUGUUUUCUCUAUGCAUGUUUGUUUUCUCUAUGUAUGUUUAUAUUUUCUCAUCAUGUUUAUGUUUUCUCUAUGCAUGUUUUAUAUUUUCUCUAUGCAUGUUUGUUUUCUCUAUGCGUGUUUAUAUUUUCUCUAUGCAUGUUUGUUUUCUCUAUGCAUGUUUAUGUUUUCUCUAUACAUGUUUGUUUUCUCUAUGCAUGUUUAUGUUUUCUCUAUGCAUGUUUGUUUUCUCUAUGCAUGUUUGUAUUUCACUAUGCAUGUUUAUAUUUUCUCUAUGCAUGUUGUUUCUAUGCAUGUUGUUUCUCUAUGCAUGUUUAUUUUCUCUAUGCAUGUUUAUGUUUUCUCUAUGCAUGUUUAUAUUUUCUCUAUGCAUGUUUAUAUUUUCUCUAUGCAUGUUUAUGUUUUCUCUAUGCAUGUUCAUAUUUUCUCUCUAUGCAUGUUUAUAUUUUUUCUCUAUGCAUGUUUACGCGUCGCGCGCGUGGCUGACUGUUUACAUCAUUCUAGCACGCAGCAAACUACAGAGAGCUACACGCACACGAAUCUAAGGAAUGCAAACAGCAGUAUAUACCCAUUGCAUCACCAUCACCACCAUCACAGCGCGUGCACGCAACCCCAUCUGCAGCCUCAUAGCUGGGUCAUCAUCCUCCUGUUCUAC